GAACCACGGGAGAGUCCCGCCGGCAGGUCGGCGGGCGCCGAAGGAGCAACUCCUCUCCGAGAAUCUCUCAGGCACCCGGACCGUGGGU
rnacentral:ncRNA from 1 species